rnacentral:rRNA from 1 species
GAUGAACGCUAGCGACAGGCCUAACACAUGCAAGUCGAGGGGCAGCACAGGUAGCAAUACUUGGUGGCGACCGGCGCACGGGUGAGUAACGCGUAUGCAACCUACCUGUAACAGGGGAAUAGCUCCCUGAAGGGGAAUUAAAACCGCAUAAGACCACACUAUCGCAUGGUAGAGUGGUAAAAUAUUUAUAGGUUACAGAUGGGCAUGCGUGACAUUAGCCAGUUGGUGAGGUAACGGCUCACCAAAGCUACGAUGUCUAGGGGUUCUGAGAGGAAGGUCCCCCACACUGGUACUGAGACACGGACCAGACUCCUACGGGAGGCAGCAGUGAGGAAUAUUGGUCAAUGGGCGCAAGCCUGAACCAGCCAUGUCGCGUGCAGGACGACGGCCCUACGGGUUGUAAACUGCUUUUGUACGGGAAGAAAUAUAUCUACGAGUAGAUAUUUGCCGGUACCGUACGAAUAAGGAUCGGCUAACUCCGUGCCAGCAGCCGCGGUAAUACGGAGGAUCCGAGCGUUAUCCGGAUUUAUUGGGUUUAAAGGGUGCGUAGGCGGAAUGGUAAGUCAGUGGUGAAAUACUGCAGCUUAACUGUAGCAUUGCCAUUGAUACUGUCAUUCUUGAGUACAGUUGAGGUAGGCGGAAUGUGGUGUGUAGCGGUGAAAUGCUUAGAUAUACCACAGAACACCGAUUGCGAAGGCAGCUUACUAAACUGACACUGACGCUGAAGCACGAAAGCGUGGGGAUCAAACAGGAUUAGAUACCCUGGUAGUCCACGCCGUAAACGAUGAUUACUGGUUGUUUGCGAUACACAGCCAAGUGACUGAGCGAAAGCAUUAAGUAAUCCACCUGGGGAGUACGUCGGCAACGAUG